AUUGAACGCUGGCGGCAUGCUUUACACAUGCCAGUCGAACGGUAACAGGCCUUCGGGUGCUGACGAGUGGCGAACGGGGGAGUAAUGCAUCGGAACGUACCCAGAGGUGGGGGAUAACGCAGCGAAAGCUGUGCUAAUACCGCAUGUGAUCUGAGGAUGAAAGCGGGGGACCGAGCAGCAAUGUUUGGCCUCGCGCCUUUGGAGCGGCCGAUGUCGGAUUAGCUAGUUGGUGGGGUAAAGGCCUACCAAGGCGACGAUCCGUAGCUGGUCUGAGAGGACGACCAGCCACACUGGGACUGAGACACGGCCCAGACUCCUACGGGAGGCAGCAAUGGGGAAUUUUGGACAAUGGGCGCAAGCCUGAUCCAGCAAUGCCGCGUGCGGGAAGAAGGCCUUCGGGUUGUAAACCGCUUUUGGCAGGAACGAAACGGUGUCCGCUAAUACCGGGCGCUAAUGACGGUACCUGCAGAAUAAGCACCGGCUAACUACGUG
rnacentral:rRNA from 1 species